rnacentral:tRNA from 1 species
GGCGGCGUAGCUCAGGUGGCAGAGCACACGGCUCAUAUCCGUUAGGUCAUUGGUUCAAUCCCAAUCGCCGCUA